AACACCCCUGGUGUUACGUGAACUAAAACUCUGACAUGUCAUCAUAAACAUUUGCAUUAUCUUGCUUGUUACACCUAGAAUGCAUUUACUAGGUUAAAAUUUUCGAUUCAAAAGUGUGGUGUUGUGUAUUAGAGUACAGGGCUCAGAUUAAGAACUUUGUUUAAGACAUGGGAAGAGAAGUCGUCUCUUGAGCAAGUAAUAAGUUGGCUUGGAAUUUAAGGUAUUAAAUGUAAGACUUAGAACCUAGAGCAAAUUUGUUUUCAAAGGGAGAUCAAGUGGAAGGAAUACUUGAGCUCAAGGAUCAACUUAGAAACCUUAAUGUAAGGGUUGAAAGUUUGUUUGCAAUUAUGUGUAAGCAAACAACUCCUAAACCAAGGAUACUUUGGAUCUGAGUCCUAUAAGAUAAAGUUGAAUUUGAGAUUAAGAAGCAACUUUUCUUUAGGAGGAUGGAUAAGUUUGCUUUUGAUAUGUGGAUUAGAAGUGGUGAACUACUUAGGGUGGUUGAGUAUCUCUAACCCCUAAACUGGAGCCCAAAAGUGGAUUUGGAGAUCUAGCCACAUUUUGCAAGAGGUAAAAAUACCAAGUUGGUAGGAUUUCCAAAGUUGCACAAUUUUGUUAUUUGGAGAUUUCCAAGUUGUGUGGAGAAAUUUGGAGAAAUUCACAAAGGUUCAGUUUUGGAGUUCCUGAAAAUAGCAGCAACUAGGCAAUUUUAGUCCUUUGUAACUUUUGAUCUAGAACCAUUUUGAAGAUGCUCGUUAUAACAAAGUCAUAGAGCUACAUGAGGAGUAUAAGUUUGGUUAAGUCAUCUAGCUCUAAAACUAUUUGAAACUUGGAUAAAAGCCGGUCCAAAGUAGGGUUCGCAGAAAUUGUGGAUUUCAGACUUAGUAGAGUUCAGAGGCUGAAUUUCAGUAUUUGGAUCCAACUUUGGGCUUUGAUAUUUUGGAAUCCAGGAGGUUUUGGUUAAUGACCACUAUACCAACCUUGUAGAGCAAUGAUAGGAGGACAAAUCGUAUUAAGUGAUAUAGCCCCAAAACUAUAUGCUACUGGUAGAAAGGAUAGUCCAAACAUUGAUUGUCAGAUUUCUGAAUUUUCAGAUUGAAAACAGUAACUGGAACUGAAUUCAGAGUUUGAUAGUAGUUUUGGGAGCUUGUUUGUGACUAAUCCCUAAGGAUUUGGGCUAAGGGGUCCAUAAAGGGAUUGAAUAAAAUAUGUUGGUGAACAACAUUCUUUAAGUAUGAUUGACACGAUGCUAUACAAAAUGUGGAGAAAAACUUUCCCAAAUUUGGAUUAUCAGAUUGCUGUUGACUUAGUUUAUUCAGAGCUAAAAAUUUGAACAUCAGUGAAUGGUACCAAGUUUAGAGCUCUAUUGUGCCAAAUCCUGGUAGUUUUGGACAAAGAACUUUAUAGCAAAAUGGAAGACUAUAUCUAGGAGAACAAACUUGUUUAAGCACUGCUGGGUUGGUGCUACACAAAUUUGGGAGAAAAAGCUAUUCCAAGUUGUGCUAUCAGGCAGUGAUGCACUUAGCAAGGUUCAGAUUAACCAAGUCUGAGUUCAGUUUUCUUGGCUCAACUUUGAUGGCUCCUUGAGACUAUUCUAGGGCGUUGUAGGUCAUGCUUUAUAUAGCAAAGUGGUAGACCGAAGUAAGAGGAACAAAUUUCCUAGAAGGCGAUGGACUUGAUGCUACACAAAAAUAGGAGUAAAAUGGGUCCCAACCUUCCAUGUUCGGCUGUGAGUGGUCUGAAUUUGGUUCUGUUGUCUGUAGUUCAAUCAGUGUGUGAGUCCCAGUUUGGAGCUACUUUUGUGACCAAAUCAUGGGGUUUUGAACUGAGGGUUCUCUAGUAAAGUGAAAGGCCAUAUAUAGAAAGACAAAUCUCCUUAAGCGAUGUUAGUGUGGUGCUAUAAAAACUUUGGAGUAAAUGUCCUAAGACAUGUUAUUGUCAGUCUAGACUGAACUUCUUCUAGAUUCAGAAAACUGAAGUUGUGAUCAGUAAAAUGAGGCAAACUUUAGAGCAAUAUAGCUUUUGAUCCAUGUACGUUUGGUACAGGGAAACUAUGACAAAGUUGGAUAUCAUAGCAUGGUAAAUAAGUUUCAUAAAGUGAGAUAGACCUGGUGCCAAACAGAAAUUAGAUUAAAAUUCUCAGAGAGAAACCCUAUCAGUCUGUGUUAACUCUAGGCUGAGUUCAGAGAACUGAAACCAGGUUCAGUGAAAUUUGGCUAACUUUGGAUCACCAUAACUUUUGUUUUAUAUGCUUUUAGUUAUGGGUUGCUAUACAAAAGACAUAUAGCUAUGAAUAUAGAAUAACUUUGGUGAAGAGAUAGUGGUCUGUUGCUAUGAAGAAUUGGGAGAUCAGAGGGCCUGAACUGGGAGGAAUGGAAUGAAGCAGCAGGCUGAUACAAUUGAGUUCAAUGUGGCAUUCGAAUUCUGAAGAAGAUCACUUCCUCUCUGUUAGGUUACUCGAGUAUUGGAUGGAGUCAAGGUUGAGAUACAUGACUAUGGGUCUAGGGGCCUUAUUUGCUGCUGGGAAAAUAGCAGAUUUGGACUGUUUUGGUGGGCAGUGAGGCCUUAUCUGUUGGAUCUGUGGUGGAAUUAACUAGACAGCAAAAAUCCAGUGGUUUCACGCCUUCACCCCAGUAGCAAAUAUCAAGUUUUGGACCAUAGUGCAUACCCAAGUGGGAGACUUAUCUACUCCCUUUCCUAUCUGUUUACCGAACGAAGUGAUGGAUAUUUUGUCUGUGUGAGAUAGACUAAAUGCGGUGUAUUUGAGCUGUGGUUAUGAGCCUAUGUAGUGUGGGUGCAUGGGAGCCACGUACAAUAGGUCAUGCAGUGCUGGCAUUCCCACGGUUCUCCUACAUCAGGUCUGAGUUGAGCUCCAUACCCUGCCUACACAUUCAGUUGUACUUGUCCAUAUCCAGUGCCCUUCGCUUGGGUUCAGUAAAGCUUCCCCUUGCCCUCAGGUUUUAGCUCGAGACCACUGCGUAAGUGCUGGAAUUCCUGUGUUCCCGCUAGUACUCACCUCUCCCCAGUCACCAAACUUUGCCCCUCACAGAAACUUGCACGCCAUCUUCCUGCCAGUGGUGACCACGCCCACCCGUUCUUAACCUCACCAUGGCCAGGGUUCGUGGAGAUUGUCUCGGCCGUGUUGUGCCCGUUCCUUGUUUCUCACAGGUCAGUGAAGCUCACACCAUUUACUGCUUGAACUCUACCACUAUUGGUUGCCUGGAACUAGGUGUGAAAUUUGCUCAAACAUAGGCUGUCAGAUUUCUGGAUCCCAGACUUAGUGCAUAAGGCUGAAACUAGGUUUUAGUGUGUUGAGCUCCACUUUGGUGCUUCGUAAAAAUUGUUCUAAAUGUUUUCAACAUAGGGGUGCUAUACCAAAGUAGUAGAGCUAUAUCUAAGGAAUAACUUUGGUAAUGUGAGCUUGGUCUGUUGAUGUGUAAAAGUUGGAGAAAAGGUUGGUUAAAGUUGGACUGUCAGGCUGGACACAACUGAAUUUUUUUAUUCAGUUCUAUGAACUGAAUUGCAGCAGUAUGCCUAGUUUGGAAUUCAUUUGUGACUGAUUCAUGGGGUUUUGGAUUAAGGGUCCCAUAGCAAAGUUGUAGACCAUAGUAAAGUGAACAAGUUUGCUAAAGUGAGAUGGACCUGAUUCCACAUAAAUUUGGGAGUAAAAGUAGCCAAAAGAUGGACUGUCAGGUGUUGGGAUUCAGAUUUAGAAUAAUAUUUAAGUCUGAAUUUGUGUGUUUUUAUUCAAAUUUGGGUCCUUGUGGUAAUUAAUCCAAGAAGAAUUGGGGUAAGAAUUCUAUAGCAAAGUGAAAGACCAUUUCAAGGAGAGAAAGUGUCAUACAGAGAGUUGGCUUGCUACUGUAAAGAAUUUAGAGAAAAAGGAGUUGAAAAACUCUCUGUCAGAUUAAACAUGUGCUGUUUUAGAUUCUAAAAUUGAAAUGUUUCAGUGUUUUUGUUAUGUUUUGGUGCACCAUAGCUUGUGUUUUGUAUGAUUUUGACCUUGGACUACUGUAGCAAACUGGUAGUGCUAUGGUUUGGGAGCAGGCUUGGCCAACUAAGUUGGUCUGGUGCUAUAGAAAAUUCUAAAAAACAUGGGACAAAGUUUAGUGGCUGUAUAAAAUCAAAAGCUCUCUGGUAAAGUUGGUUUUCGAAUUUUUAGGUUGGUUACCAAAUAUUAAGGGAUUUAAAAGUGCUCUUGGAAGGACUGUUUGGAUUUUAGAAAUAAAAGUACAGUGCCAAAACUUAUGGAAAUUUCUGAGUAACCUUGUUUUGGUCAUUUGAGCUUGUGGUAAAAGUUUGAGGCUGUUUGUAAGCAAUUUUCUCAGAAAAACUUUGCAAGGUCCGUAAUAGAUAAGAUAAAUCCCUAAUCCAAGAAUGGAUUAGAGCUUGGGAAUGUAGAGCCAAGUUUAUCAAAUGAGAUCUUGAUCUUUGGAUGAAAUCUAGUGUGUUCUAGUCCCCUGGUGGUCAUAGCUUGAAGGUGUAGACUUUGGAUUCUUGGUGUUACUAGAUCCCCUAUUAUUUUGUUAAUCUUUUUGUGCACCUUGUGGGAAGGUGUAGUGGGAAGUGCUUAAUAUUGUCCUCUUUACAAGUUGCACUUUCAUAAUGUGAGUAUAAGCAUUCAUGGACAUACAUUUCAUGUAGAGUGCCAAGAAGGAGAUUCUGAAGAGGAGUCUACUCCAGUGUCUGCUGAUCAAGUGAUUGAGCUAUCUAACUGGUUAUGGGGUAGAAGUAUCUAGAACCUCUUCACUUCAACAAAGGCAAGCCCCGGUGCAUUUGCCACCUCCCUUGUGUUUACAAAAUUUUAUCACUUAUAUGCUGCAUUAGGUGAUAGGAGUUGAUUGAUUAAACAAUUGAUGCAUUACCAUCCUUGAAAGAUUGAUUACCAUACCUUGUCACCUGUUUUAUAAAAGCUAGAGAUGCUUAGUCAUACUGAUAGACUAAGAAAAAUGUUUUUUAUCUAUGACUCAUGUUUUUACAAAAAGAAAAUGGGCUUGGGAUAAUGAAGGCAUCAAGACGUUGAUAAAUUCAUUAUCCAGGCAUGGCCCCUCUGUCAGGCGCCAAAAUUUUGAAAUAGUUUAAAAUGGGACCAGACGCUGAGCAAGAAAGGUCGCCCGUCUGUGUCGAUUAAGGACCGUACCGAUUGUUGGCCUGAUGAUCUAGGACCUUUUAACUGGCCACAUACCUCAUCAUGGGUAAGCCUGAACCCGGCUAUUCCAUACGUGAAAAGACAACCGCGCACUGGGCGUGAGAGAUGGUGGGAGUAGCAGUUACCCUCCUGGCAAGAGGCUGAAUGGUAGGGUAAUGUGCUCCCGGGUAGCGCGGACCAGUUCAUGUAGUGGAGGAUCCGUGGGAAUGGUUGACAUAUGCAAGGGUUAAGUGCUACAUAUGUCGUGUGGUUGGAGAUCCCCAGCUGGGUAUUAAUCGAUUCGGAUCACCGUUACUUCUCGGAUAUGAAGACUGGAUCGCUGCCCUUCAUCGUAGAUAACAAGCAAAACAAAAUUUGGAUUUUAAAAGCAACCUAGUGCAGGUCAAGUGAAUGAUCUAGAUUAGGAAACUGCUAGAUUCAGGCUAGAAGAUUCAGGUAAUAAACUAACUUGUGAAAUAAAACUUGGCCUUAAGGACCCACUUCUAGUAAGCUUUUCUGCAAAAUGAGUCCUUGAACUUUGAUGAGCUUUACCUUGAUUCCCAAAAGCCAGCAUACCCUUGAGAGUCUUUUCUUUAGUCGGGUAAGUCUUGCUGAGUAAUUGCGUACUCAGGGUUUUAUCCCUUGUUGUUUUUGUAGGAGAAGUUUUAUUCCCUUAUCUUUGGGUUAGUUACUUCAUGUGGAGGACUUGAAGCUUAGAAGGUUUUUAUAUAUAUCUCUUAUGGAAAGGCUUCACCCUUCCAAUUAUUGUAGUUAAGUUAUGCCCUUCGAGUACUAUCAGGACUUGUAAUAAAUACAUCUCUUUCUACCAUGUAAAACUUGAGUUCUGGAAUGUAAAGUGUACUUUGUAAAAGUCUUCCGCUCUAUCUCCAAUGUGUGUGUAUCAAAUGUGAUUACUGUAAUAUACCUGUUAUGUGGGAGAUCCUUGGGAUGAUGAGUUCCAGUUGGCGAACUCGAUAGCCUUGUUAAGUUACCCGGUACACGUGCACAGCCAUCUGAGGCCAGUAAGGCAAGGAUUGGUGCAUGUGGGCCUGAUAACUUGGGAGGGCUGUCACAGCGUGGUAUCGGAGCGAUCCCCCAUUAUCAUGGAUAUUAAAGUAAUCCUUUGAUAAACUUCAAAAGGAUUUUGAGUCCAAACUAUUUUGGAAAAACUUAAGAAUAUGAUCAAAUCCUGAUAGUCGAAGUGCAAAUAGUAUAUAGUUAAGUUAAAGACUAUAAGGUGGCUUAGUUUAGGAUGCUAACCACUAACCCACAACUAUAAUGCAAUUUUGUGCAGGUACACUAACUAAACCCUAGGAAAGUGCGACUAGUGAUAAAUAACGAGUGAGUAGGUAUGCCACCGCCAUAGAACAUGAAAGCCACUAUAUGUUGGCAAGAAUUGUGAGGACGAAUAGGACGAGCAUGCAUCAUGACAUACAAUUUUAAAUUAAGCCCCCUAUGUAGCAGUAUUAGUACAUGUUUCAUCCACCCUAUUCCUGCUAUCUGUCUUUGCCUUUCUAUGCUACCAUUUCCUGUUCAUGAAGACUACCAAGCUUCGAAACAAAGGUUUUGGUGAACCUGUGGCUUAUAAGGAACAAUUGUCAGAAGAUCUUCCAAUAGUGCACAACAUGUUCCACGUGUCUCCGUUAAAGAAAUGUCUUCGAGUCCCCAAAUAUGUUAUUGAGAUUUCAGAUGUUAGCCAUAAACCAGGUUUAACCUCCUCGCAAUAUCCCAUAAAGGUGUUAGAUCAACAGGAUCAGGUCACUCGAAGAAAAGUUAUCGAGUUUUACGAGAUAAAGUGGAACCAAUACACACGAAAGAUGAAGCCACAUGGGAAUCGAAGGAGUAUUUGGAAGAACAUGUGCUUGAGUUCCUAGGUUCUUGUAAGUCCUAGGUUUUGUGCAGUUUGUCUUUGGUUUGAACCAAUAGGGGCACACCCCUGCUUUGUAGGAGUAUUGGGGAAAUAAGCCAGUGACGCAUUUCCUUUUCCGUUACUAAGCCUAGAGUUUUAAAUCUCGGGACGAGAUUUCUUUUAGGGGGGAAGGUUGUAACACCCCUGGUGUUACGUGAACUAAAACUCUGACAUGUCAUCAUAAACAUUUGCAUUAUCUUGCUUGUUACACCUAGAAUGCAUUUACUAGGUUAAAAUUUUCGAUUCAAAAGUGUGGUGUUGUGUAUUAGAGUACAGGGCUCAGAUUAAGAACUUUGUUUAAGACAUGGGAAGAGAAGUCGUCUCUUGAGCAAGUAAUAAGUUGGCUUGGAAUUUAAGGUAUUAAAUGUAAGACUUAGAACCUAGAGCAAAUUUGUUUUCAAAGGGAGAUCAAGUGGAAGGAAUACUUGAGCUCAAGGAUCAACUUAGAAACCUUAAUGUAAGGGUUGAAAGUUUGUUUGCAAUUAUGUGUAAGCAAACAACUCCUAAACCAAGGAUACUUUGGAUCUGAGUCCUAUAAGAUAAAGUUGAAUUUGAGAUUAAGAAGCAACUUUUCUUUAGGAGGAUGGAUAAGUUUGCUUUUGAUAUGUGGAUUAGAAGUGGUGAACUACUUAGGGUGGUUGAGUAUCUCUAACCCCUAAACUGGAGCCCAAAAGUGGAUUUGGAGAUCUAGCCACAUUUUGCAAGAGGUAAAAAUACCAAGUUGGUAGGAUUUCCAAAGUUGCACAAUUUUGUUAUUUGGAGAUUUCCAAGUUGUGUGGAGAAAUUUGGAGAAAUUCACAAAGGUUCAGUUUUGGAGUUCCUGAAAAUAGCAGCAACUAGGCAAUUUUAGUCCUUUGUAACUUUUGAUCUAGAACCAUUUUGAAGAUGCUCGUUAUAACAAAGUCAUAGAGCUACAUGAGGAGUAUAAGUUUGGUUAAGUCAUCUAGCUCUAAAACUAUUUGAAACUUGGAUAAAAGCCGGUCCAAAGUAGGGUUCGCAGAAAUUGUGGAUUUCAGACUUAGUAGAGUUCAGAGGCUGAAUUUCAGUAUUUGGAUCCAACUUUGGGCUUUGAUAUUUUGGAAUCCAGGAGGUUUUGGUUAAUGACCACUAUACCAACCUUGUAGAGCAAUGAUAGGAGGACAAAUCGUAUUAAGUGAUAUAGCCCCAAAACUAUAUGCUACUGGUAGAAAGGAUAGUCCAAACAUUGAUUGUCAGAUUUCUGAAUUUUCAGAUUGAAAACAGUAAUUGGAACUGAAUUCAGAGUUUGAUAGUAGUUUUGGGAGCUUGUUUGUGACUAAUCCCUAAGGAUUUGGGCUAAGGGGUCCAUAAAGGGAUUGAAUAAAAUAUGUUGGUGAACAACGUUCUUUAAGUAUGAUUGACACGAUGCUAUACAAAAUGUGGAGAAAAACUUUCCCAAAUUUGGAUUAUCAGAUUGCUGUUGACUUAGUUUAUUCAGAGCUAAAAAUUUGAACAUCAGUGAAUGGUACCAAGUUUAGAGCUCUAUUGUGCCAAAUCCUGGUAGUUUUGGACAAAGAACUUUAUAGCAAAAUGGAAGACUAUAUCUAGGAGAACAAACUUGUUUAAGCACUGCUGGGUUGGUGCUACACAAAUUUGGGAGAAAAAGCUAUUCCAAGUUGUGCUAUCAGGCAGUGAUGCACUUAGCAAGGUUCAGAUUAACCAAGUCUGAGUUCAGUUUUCUUGGCUCAACUUUGAUGGCUCCUUGAGACUAUUCUAGGGCGUUGUAGGUCAUGCUUUAUAUAGCAAAGUGGUAGACCGAAGUAAGAGGAACAAAUUUCCUAGAAGGCGAUGGACUUGAUGCUACACAAAAAUAGGAGUAAAAUGGGUCCCAACCUUCCAUGUUCGGCUGUGAGUGGUCUGAAUUUGGUUCUGUUGUCUGUAGUUCAAUCAGUGUGUGAGUCCCAGUUUGGAGCUACUUUUGUGACCAAAUCAUGGGGUUUUGAACUGAGGGUUCUCUAGUAAAGUGAAAGGCCAUAUAUAGAAAGACAAAUCUCCUUAAGCGAUGUUAGUGUGGUGCUAUAAAAACUUUGGAGUAAAUGUCCUAAGACAUGUUAUUGUCAGUCUAGACUGAACUUCUUCUAGAUUCAGAAAACUGAAGUUGUGAUCAGUAAAAUGAGGCAAACUUUAGAGCAAUAUAGCUUUUGAUCCAUGUACGUUUGGUACAGGGAAACUAUGACAAAGUUGGAUAUCAUAGCAUGGUAAAUAAGUUUCAUAAAGUGAGAUAGACCUGGUGCCAAACAGAAAUUAGAUUAAAAUUCUCAGAGAGAAACCCUAUCAGUCUGUGUUAACUCUGGGCUGAGUUCAGAGAACUGAAACCAGGUUCAGUGAAAUUUGGCUAACUUUGGAUCACCAUAACUUUUGUUUUAUAUGCUUUUAGUUAUGGGUUGCUAUACAAAAGACAUAUAGCUAUGAAUAUAGAAUAACUUUGGUGAAGAGAUAGUGGUCUGUUGCUAUGAAGAAUUGGGAGAUCAGAGGGCCUGAACUGGGAGGAAUGGAAUGAAGCAGCAGGCUGAUACAAUUGAGUUCAAUGUGGCAUUCGAAUUCUGAAGAAGAUCACUUCCUCUCUGUUAGGUUACUCGAGUAUUGGAUGGAGUCAAGGUUGAGAUACAUGACUAUGGGUCUAGGGGCCUUAUUUGCUGCUGGGAAAAUAGCAGAUUUGGACUGUUUUGGUGGGCAGUGAGGCCUUAUCUGUUGGAUCUGUGGUGGAAUUAACUAGACAGCAAAAAUCCAGUGGUUUCACGCCUUCACCCCAGUAGCAAAUAUCAAGUUUUGGACCAUAGUGCAUACCCAAGUGGGAGACUUAUCUACUCCCUUUCCUAUCUGUUUACCGAACGAAGGGAUGGAUAUUUUGUCUGUGUGAGAUAGACUAAAUGCGGUGUAUUUGAGCUGUGGUUAUGAGCCUAUGUGGUGUGGGUGCAUGGGAGCCACGUACAAUAGGUCAUGCAGUGCUGGUAUUCCCACGGUUCUCCUACAUCAGGUCUGAGUUGAGCUCUAUACCCUGCCUACACAUUCAGUUGUACUUGUCCAUAUCCAGUGCCCUUCGCUUGGGUUCAGUAAAGCUUCCCCUUGCCCUCAGGUUUUAGCUCGAGACCACUGCGUAAGUGCUGGAAUUCCUGUGUUCCCGCUAGUACUCACCACUCCCCAGUCACCAAACUUUGCCCCUCACAGAAACUUGCACGCCAUCUUCCUGCCAGUGGUGACCACGCCCACCCGUUCUUAACCUCACCAUGGCCAGGGUUCGUGGAGAUUGUCUCGGCCGUGUUGUGCCCGUUCCUUGUUUCUCACAGGUCAGUGAAGCUCACACCAUUUACUGCUUGAACUCUACCACUAUUGGUUGCCUGGAACUAGGUGUGAAAUUUGCUCAAACAUAGGCUGUCAGAUUUCUGGAUCCCAGACUUAGUGCAUAAGGCUGAAACUAGGUUUUAGUGUGUUGAGCUCCACUUUGGUGCUUCGUAAAAAUUGUUCUAAAUGUUUUCAACAUAGGGGUGCUAUACCAAAGUAGUAGAGCUAUAUCUAAGGAAUAACUUUGGUAAUGUGAGCUUGGUCUGUUGAUGUGUAAAAGUUGGAGAAAAGGUUGGUUAAAGUUGGACUGUCAGGCUGGAUACAACUGAAUUUUUUUAUUCAGUUCUAUGAACUGAAUUGCAGCAGUAUGCCUAGUUUGGAAUUCAUUUGUGACUGAUUCAUGGGGUUUUGGAUUAAGGGUCCCAUAGCAAAGUUGUAGACCAUAGUAAAGUGAACAAGUUUGCUAAAGUGAGAUGGACCUGAUUCCACAUAAAUUUGGGAGUAAAAGUAGCCAAAAGAUGGACUGUCAGGUGUUGGGAUUCAGAUUUAGAAUAAUAUUUAAGUCUGAAUUUGUGUGUUUUUAUUCAAAUUUGGGUCCUUGUGGUAAUUAAUCCAAGAAGAAUUGGGGUAAGAAUUCUAUAGCAAAGUGAAAGACCAUUUCAAGGAGAGAAAGUGUCAUACAGAGAGUUGGCUUGCUACUGUAAAGAAUUUAGAGAAAAAGGAGUUGAAAAACUCUCUGUCAGAUUAAACAUGUGCUGUUUUAGAUUCUAAAAUUGAAAUGUUUCAGUGUUUUUGUUAUGUUUUGGUGCACCAUAGCUUGUGUUUUGUAUGAUUUUGACCUUGGACUACUGUAGCAAACUGGUAGUGCUAUGGUUUGGGAGCAGGCUUGGCCAACUAAGUUGGUCUGGUGCUAUAGAAAAUUCUAAAAAACAUGGGACAAAGUUUAGUGGCUGUAUAAAAUCAAAAGCUCUCUGGUAAAGUUGGUUUUCGAAUUUUUAGGUUGGUUACCAAAUAUUAAGGGAUUUAAAAGUGCUCUUGGAAGGACUGUUUGGAUUUUAGAAAUAAAAGUACAGUGCCAAAACUUAUGGAAAUUUCUGAGUAACCUUGUUUUGGUCAUUUGAGCUUGUGGUAAAAGUUUGAGGCUGUUUGUAAGCAAUUUUCUCAGAAAAACUUUGCAAGGUCCAUAAUAGAUAAGAUAAAUCCCUAAUCCAAGAAUGGAUUAGAGCUUGGGAAUGUAGAGCCAAGUUUAUCAAAUGAGAUCUUGAUCUUUGGAUGAAAUCUAGUGUGUUCUAGUCCCCUGGUGGUCAUAGCUUGAAGGUGUAGACUUUGGAUUCUUGGUGUUACUAGAUCCCCUAUUAUUUUGUUAAUCUUUUUGUGCACCUUGUGGGAAGGUGUAGUGGGAAGUGCUUAAUAUUGUCCUCUUUACAAGUUGCACUUUCAUAACGUGAGUAUAAGCAUUCAUGGACAUACAUUUCAUGUAGAGUGCCAAGAAGGAGAUUCUGAAGAGGAGUCUACUCCAGUGUCUGCUGAUCAAGUGAUUGAGCUAUCUAACUGGUUAUGGGGUAGAAGUAUCUAGAACCUCUUCACUUCAACAAAGGCAAGCCCCGGUGCAUUUGCCACCUCCCUUGUGUUUACAAAAUUUUAUCACUUAUAUGCUGCAUUAGGUGAUAGGAGUUGAUUGAUUAAACAAUUGAUGCAUUACCAUCCUUGAAAGAUUGAUUACCAUACCUUGUCACCUGUUUUAUAAAAGCUAGAGAUGCUUAGUCAUACUGAUAGACUAAGAAAAAUGUUUUUUAUCUAUGACUCAUGUUUUUACAAAAAGAAAAUGGGCUUGGGAUAAUGAAGGCAUCAAGACGUUGAUAAAUUCAUUAUCCAGGCAUGGCCCCUCUGUCAGGCGCCAAAAUUUUGAAAUAGUUUAAAAUGGGACCAGACGCUGAGCAAGAAAGGUCGCCCGUCUGUGUCGAUUAAGGACCGUACCGAUUGUUGGCCUGAUGAUCCAGGACCUUUUAACUGGCCACAUACCUCGUCAUGGGUAAGCCUGAACCCGGCUAUUCCAUACGUGAAAAGACAACCGCGCACUGGGCGUGGGAGAUGGUGGGAGUAGCAGUUACCCUCCUGGCAAGAGGCUGAAUGGUAGGGUAAUGUGCUCCCGGGUAGCGCGGACCAGUUCAUGUAGUGGAGGAUCCGUGGGAAUGGUUGACAUAUGCAAGGGUUAAGUGCUACAUAUGUCGUGUGGUUGGAGAUCCCCAGCUGGGUAUUAAUCGAUUCGGAUCGCCGUUACUUCUCGGAUAUGAAGACUGGAUCGCUGCCCUUCAUCGUAGAUAACAAGCAAAACAAAAUUUGGAUUUUAAAAGCAACCUAGUGCAGGUCAAGUGAAUGAUCUAGAUUAGGAAACUGCUAGAUUCAGGCUAGAAGAUUCAGGUAAUAAACUAACUUGUGAAAUAAAACUUGGCCUUAAGGACCCACUUCUAGUAAGCUUUUCUGCAAAAUGAGUCCUUGAACUUUGAUGAGCUUUACCUUGAUUCCCAAAAGCCAGCAUACCCUUGAGAGUCUUUUCUUUAGUCGGGUAAGUCUUGCUGAGUAAUUGCGUACUCAGGGUUUUAUCCCUUGUUGUUUUUGUAGGAGAAGUUUUAUUCCCUUAUCUUUGGGUUAGUUACUUCAUGUGGAGGACUUGAAGCUUAGAAGGUUUUUAUAUAUAUCUCUUAUGGAAAGGCUUCACCCUUCCAAUUAUUGUAGUUAAGUUAUGCCCUUCGAGUACUAUCAGGACUUGUAAUAAAUACAUCUCUUUCUACCAUGUAAAACUUGAGUUCUGGAAUGUAAAGUGUACUUUGUAAAAGUCUUCCGCUCUAUCUCCAAUGUGUGUGUAUCAAAUGUGAUUACUGUAAUAUACCUGUUAUGUGGGAGAUCCUUGGGAUGAUGAGUUCCAGUUGGCGAACUCGAUAGCCUUGUUAAGUUACCCGGUACACGUGCACAGCCAUCUGAGGCCAGUAAGGCAAGGAUUGGUGCAUGUGGGCCUGAUAACUUGGGAGGGCUGUC
rnacentral:lncRNA from 1 species